GUGCCAGCAGCCGCGGUAAUACGUAGGUGGCAAGCGUUGUCCGGAUUUAUUGGGCGUAAAGCGAGCGCAGGCGGUUUCUUAAGUCUGAUGUGAAAGCCCCCGGCUCAACCGGGGAGGGUCAUUGGAAACUGGGAGACUUGAGUGCAGAAGAGGAGAGUGGAAUUCCAUGUGUAGCGGUGAAAUGCGUAGAUAUAUGGAGGAACACCAGUGGCGAAGGCGGCUCUCUGGUCUGUAACUGACGCUGAGGCUCGAAAGCGUGGGGAGCAAACAGGAUUAGAUAC
rnacentral:rRNA from 1 species